CUAUCAGAUUUAGUUAAUCGACUAACCUAAUGACCGUUUCCAAAGUUAAUCGAUUAUCAACUUAGUUAAUCGAUUAACCUCAGCAGAUUUUGAAAAUAUUGUUUAAUUAUGAAGCAACGGAUUAAAUUUGCUUAUUCUCAUGUUCGUAUAUCUCUUUUGAUUAAUUGAUUCAUGUACCACACAUACGAUAUUCAAAGAGAAGAAAUAUUACUCUCAUUUAAGUAUG
rnacentral:lncRNA from 1 species